ACCUGUCUAGUAUAAUGGUAGUGCUACUGGCUCCAACCCAGUAAGCGUGGGUUCGAUUCCUACGGCAGGUGCCA
rnacentral:tRNA from 1 species